rnacentral:rRNA from 1 species
UGGCGUUGGUUGUCCAAGUUUAAGGUGGUAGGCUGGAAUCUUAGGUAAAUCCGGGAUUCUAAGGCCGAGAGCUUGAUGACGAGUUAACUUUUAGUUAACGAAGUGUUGAUGCCAUGCUUCCAAGAAAAGCUUCUAAGCUUCAGGUAACCAGGAACCGUACCCCAAACCGACACAGGUGGUUGGGUAGAGAAUACCAAGGCGCUUGAGAGAACUCGGGUGAAGGAACUAGGCAAAAUGGCACCGUAACUUCGGGAGAAGGUGCGCCGGUGAGGGUGAAGGACUUGCUCCGUAAGCUCAUGCCGGUCGAAGAUACCAGGCCGCUGCGACUGUUUAUUAAAAACACAGCACUCUGCAAACACGAAAGUGGACGUAUAGGGUGUGACGCCUGCCCGGUGCCGGAAGGUUAAUUGAUGGGGUUAGCUAACGCGAAGCUCUUGAUCGAAGCCCCGGUAAACGGCGGCCGUAACUAUAAAUCCUAAGGUAGCGAAAUUCCUUGUCGGGUAAGUUCCGACCUGCACGAAUGGCGUAACGAUGGCGGCGCUGUCUCCACCCGAGACUCAGUGAAAUUGAAAUCGCUGUGAAGAUGCAGUGUAUCCGCGGCUAGACGGAAAGACCCCGUGAACCUUUACUAUAGCUUUGCACUGGACUUUGAAUUUGCUUGUGUAGGAUAGGUGGGAGCCUUUGAAGCGUGGACGCCAGUCUGCGUGGAGCCAACCUUGAAAUACCACCCUGGCAACUUUGAGGUUCUAACUCAGGUCCGUUAUCCGGAUCGAGGACAGUGUAUGGUGGGUAGUUUGACUGGGGCGGUCUCCUCCUAAAGAGUAACGGAGGAGUACGAAGGUGCGCUCAGACCGGUCGGAAAUCGGUCGUAGAGUAUAAAGGCAAAAGCGCGCUUGACUGCGAGACAGACACGUCGAGCAGGUACGAAAGUAGGUCUUAGUGAUCCGGUGGUUCUAGUAUGGAAGGGCCAUCGCUCAACGGAUAAAAGGUACUCCGGGAGUAACAGGCUGAUACCGCC